AGGGAAUCUUCCGCAAUGGGCGAAAGCCUGACGGAGCAACGCCGCGUGAGUGAUGAAGGCCUUCGGGUCGUAAAACUCUGUUAUUAGGGAAGAACAAAUGUGUAAGUAACUAUGCACGUCUUGACGGUACCUAAUCAGAAAGCCACGGCUAACUACGUGCCAGCAGCCGCGGUAAUACGUAGGUGGCAAGCGUUAUCCGGAAUUAUUGGGCGUAAAGCGCGCGUAGGCGGUUUCUUAAGUCUGAUGUGAAAGCCCACGGCUCAACCGUGGAGGGUCAUUGGAAACUGGGAAACUUGAGUGCAGGAGAGGAAAGUGGAAUUCCAUGUGUAGCGGUGAAAUGCGCAGAGAUAUGGAGGAACACCAGUGGCGAAGGCGACUUUCUGGUCUGCAACUGACGCUGAUGUGCGAAAGCGUGGGGAUCAAACAGGAUUAGAUACCCUGGUAGUCCACGCCGUAAACGAUGAGUGCUAAGUGUUAGGGGGGUUCCGCCCCUUAGUGCUGCAGCUAACGCAUUAAGCACUCCGCCUGGGGAGUACGACCGCAAGGUUG
rnacentral:rRNA from 1 species